AGAGUCUGUGGCAGCGGCGGGUGCAACGUGAUUCGCUGGCGGUUACACAACGCCCGAGAGCUGGGCUCGCCGCCGCGGCCAGCCGCUCCCGGGCUGACUUCUAAAGGAACAGAAAACAAACAGGACGUGGUGUUUUCCAAAGUUGCUCUCGGUCAUGGUGUUUGUCACAGCCACAGAAGGUGAACUAGGACUCCAGGUCAGAUCUCUGCCGAGCCCCUCACAAUGAAGAGACUUAACAGAUGGCAAAGCCGGAAACAGAUCAGCGUCUAAGCCCCGGCAGCCACAGUGUCCAGAGGCAUGCUCCAGUCACUCCACGCCUGGCACGUGACACACGGAGCACAUGCUGGUUCUAUUAUCAUUGCGAUGACGAUCGUCCACAUCCCCACACCAGAAGCUUCCGGUGUGAAGCGUAUGCAUAUACUUAGACUGUUUCAAGCCAAGGCUUUCUGGAAAUUUCCAGGCUGCCUCGGACGGCCUUGGAAGGGCUCACCGUGGACAGGCUAUUCCAACUUAAGGAUAAAGCUUCCCCAGGUUUCCGUCUCCUGGGAUUUACGGGGCUAGUGGUGUGUACGGCGGGUGCAAACCCUGCUUGCUGCAUUCAGCUCCACUUGCAGACACACAACUGAGUGUGAAAGGCGGAGCCCAGUGACGUCAGGAAGAAGACAGCAUGGGGGAUGGGCUGGACCAAGCCGUUCUGGACAGAGGGGCUGCAAGGCAAGCCACUCCGAUUCAGGACAGGCGGCCAAAAGUGACCCAGAGUAUACGGCCCUCUAGAUGGAUUUCUCCAGGGUCAGGUCAGGAAUGGCAGGGUGCCCUCAGUCUGACCCAGGAGGAUGUCUGUGGGAGACACCACAGCUCAGGGCCUGCCUGCCUGCCUCUGAAGCUUCAGAUGGGUGCUUAAGUAUUUGUUGAGAACCCAGAAAGAAGUAAGUAAUCGCUCCCCCAAAACAGGAUGUAAAACUCUACAUCGAGGACUUGGCAGAUUUUGGGGUGGGCAGGGUAGGGGGAGUUGCAGUAUUGAGACUGAAAUAGACAAGAGACUGUGAGUGGUCGAGCUGGAGGCCUCGUGGCUGUGAAUAGAUCUACUCAUUCUUGUGGAGAGACUGCUCCAGAGCCUGCUUCAAAACAGCCCUGUCCUUGAGCAAACCAAUCAGUGCCAAUUUGCUGUUGUGUUUUGUUUGAGACAGGGUUUCUCUGUGUAACAGCCCUGGCUGUUCUAGAACUCGCUUUGUAGACCAGGCUGGAUUCGAACUCAGAGAUCCACCUGCCUCUACCUCCCGAGUACUGGGAUUAAAGGCGUGGGCCACCACCACCCAGCAGUGCCAGUUUGCACACACACACACAUACACACACACACACACACACACACACACACACACACGGGUUGAUAGAUCCUGGGCCUUCAAGCUCCCAACAGGAAGCAUGAUUGGGCCCAGAGGCAGCCGUGACAGAAUCUGGAAAUAGAACACCUUCCACAGCUGGCCUGGCCCUGCUCACGACACCGAGGGUGAAGAAUGGCAUUCCUGCUCCGACAUGCACCCCCAGAGCCUUCCAGGCUGCUUGCUUUACAGCGGUCACAGCCAACAUAAACCAAGAAUGCUUGCACCCCUUGUUUGGGGCCCUGGAAACCUACGGAGCUGACGGAGAUGCUCCCAGCAUUGGAAAGAUGAAGAGCUUGAAAAGUCUGAGAUGACCCCAGCCACCGCCUCACACGCGGAAUUUGGGUGCCCCCAGCUUGGCUCAUCCUAAGCUUCAGUAUUCAAGGUUUCUUCCAACUUGAAUUGUUUCCUUAAGCAGGCUGCCCUGCCAGAAAAAAAAAAAAAAAGACAUAUUCUUCCAUUCCACACAGACAUGGAUGCCCCCACUUUGCAGACGGAAGGAA